rnacentral:rRNA from 1 species
UAAUACGGAGGGUGCAAGCGUUGUCCGGAAUCAUUGGGUGUAAAGGGUGCGCAGGCGGACUGCUAAGUCUGGGGUGAAAGGCCACGGCUCAACCGUGGAAGGUCCCUGGAUACUGGCGGUCUUGAAUAUGAGACAGGCCGGUGGAAUUCGAGGUGUAGCGGUGAAAUGCAUAGAUAUCUCGAAGAACACCAGUGGUGAAGACGGCCGGCUGGAUCAUCAUUGACGCUCAGGCACGAGAGCGUGGGGAGCAAACAGG